rnacentral:misc_RNA from 1 species
GAUGAAGAACGUAGCGAAAUGCGAUAAGUAAUGUGAAUUGCAGAAUUCAGUGAAUCAUCGAAUCUUUGAACGCACAUUGCGCCCGCCAGUAUUCUGGCGGGCAUGCCUGUUCGAGCGUCAUUUCAACCCUCAGGCCCCCAGUGCCUGGCGUUGGGGAUCGGCGUGGGCGGCGACGGCUCUCCGGAGCCCGAACCAAUGCCUGCCGGCCCCGAAAUUCAGUGGCGGUCUCGCUGUAGUCCUCCUCUGCGUAGUAGCACAACCUCGCAGUUGGAACGCGGCGGUGGCCAUGCCGUUAAACACCCCACUUCUGAAAGUUGACCUCGGAUCAGGUAGGAAUACCCGCUGAACUUAAGCAUAUCAAUAAGCGGAGGA